rnacentral:lncRNA from 1 species
UUCUUUACUUGGGCAUAGAACAUGCCCGGUGUUAAAAUAGCUUCAGCUAAAUAGUCCAAAUUUUAGGAAAAUAUCUGCAUAUUUAGGAGAAUAAUUAUGCAUGGCCUUUUAUGGGUGUGAUAAACUAUACCAUCAAAGAAAGUGUAUCCUUUUGUCAUACAGGCCAUUACCAACAGCAGAUUACACAUUAUAUAUAAGGCAUAGUUUAGAUAGAAGCCUAAAAAUUCCUUGGGUUACUGUGCAGACUUGUCACAUCAGAAAUGUUCUAACCUUAAUACAGGUUAUAAUUAGGACACAUUUAUUCUUUCUUAUUUCCUAGGUUAUGCAAGUAGAUUUGAUACCUGGUCACUUGUAGGAUAAAGACGGGACAGCAGAAAAGCACGUAACCUCUGAUUAAAUCGUUUUUCAGGGCAGAGUGACCUUUGUGCCACUUGCUUGUAGUGAAGAAAGAUAGAACUUCUUCAGCUCAAAAUAAACAGUUCUCUCUGGAAGUCAGUUUUCUGAGUAGUCUACAUACGGGCUUUUUUGAAAUGAGGCUUGAGCUGGUUUCAGACUCAAACUGGUAUUAAUUGCCAACCACUAUGAUACUUUUAGGGUAUUAGGGAUGUAUAUGUUGGAGGACAGGAGAAAAAUGGAGAUUACCUAGAGAUGAGAGAUAAAAGUCCUGCGUCAGGGAAUUUGGGGCUGAGAGGCAAAACUGAAUUCUUUUAUUAAACAUGUUCCAGAGAAACAAGAGUGAAAGCUUCAAAACAUGGUGCUAAUAUUUUUAACUUAGAAUCAACUGUUUAAACAAAGGAAUAUGUGGUGCUACAGAGGCUGGAGGUACUGUGGCCAACACAAGGUUGAACAAGGUUGAAUUGUGAUAGUCUUAGUUCUAAGGCAGAUGUGUAAGUGAGUCCACAGAUGUCAUGGUAUCAGACCUGAUGAGAGAAAAGGAUACUGAGGAAGACCACGAGGAAAAACCAGAAGAUGGCCAUCCACAAGCCUAGGAGAGUAGCCUCAGAAGAAACCAUCCCUGCUGACAUCUUGAUCUUGGACUUCUAGACUCCAGAAUUGUAAGAAAAUAAUUCACUGUUGUUUAAACCACCCAGUAUUUUGUGUGUAUUACGGCAGCUCUAGCAAGCUAAGGCAGAACAGUCGUGUAAAAGGAAAAGUUUCUGUUUACACAGUUCCAAAUGGCAGCCUGUUAUUCAAAUACCAACCACUGAAUGAGUCCUUCA